rnacentral:ncRNA from 1 species
CCUGCCAAAUUUAAGCUUAUCACUAAGCGGAGGGAAAGAAACCAACUGGGAUUCCCUAAGUAACUGCGAAUGAACUGGGA